AUUGAACGCUGGCGGCAGGCUUAACACAUGCAAGUCGAGCGAGCGGCGGACGGGUGAGUAAUGUAUGGGAAACUGCCUGAUGGAUGGGGAUAACUACUGGAAACGGGAGCUAAUACCGCAUACCAUCAGAUGUGCCCAGAUGUGAUUAGCUAGUGGGGGGGGUAAUGGCUCACCUAGGCGACGAUCCUUCGCUGGUCUGAGAGGAUGACCAGCCACACUGGGACUGAGACACGGUCCAGACUCCGACGGGAGGCAGCAGGGGGGAAUCUUGCACAAUGGGCGAAAUCCUGAUGCAGCCAUGCCGCGUGUAUGAAGAAGUCCUUCGGGUUGUAAAGCACUUUCAGCGAGGAGGCGUUACUCGCAGAAGAAGCACCGGCUAACUCCGUGCCAGCAGCCGCGGUAAUAG
rnacentral:rRNA from 1 species